UUGGGAAUAUUCAGUUUGCUGAGCUGCUGUUGAGCAACAGAGGGACUUGAUAGGCUUGUCUAUCUUCUGCUAAUAACGUUUGCAUCCCUUAGCUGUCAUCAGCCAAAAUGAACAAUGACCUUUCGAAAACACUCUGGAAAGGAGCAUGACACCAAGCACAGAGGUCUGCCAUCUUGAAGCACAGUAAGUGCCCUAAAAAGCUGCCAACAGAAGAAGUGGGUGGAGAGCUGCACACAGAAC
rnacentral:lncRNA from 1 species